rnacentral:antisense_RNA from 1 species
UGUAGGAGCUGCCGAAGGCUGCGAUCUUUUGAUCUGGCUUUUGCCGUUGAAAAGUCAAAGUCAAAAGAUCGCAGCCUUCGGCAGCUCCUACA